rnacentral:rRNA from 1 species
CAGUAGCCGCGGGAAUACGAAGGGGGCUAGCGUUGCUCGGAAUUACUGGGCGUAAAGGGAGCGUAGGCGGACAUUUAAGUCAGGGGUGAAAUCCCAGAGCUCAACUCUGGAACUGCCUUUGAUACUGGGUGUCUUGAGUGUGAUAGAGGUGUGUGGAACUCCGAGUGUAGAGGUGAAAUUCGUAGAUAUUCGGAAGAACACCAGUGGCGAAGGCGACAUACUGGAUCAUUACUGACGCUGAGGCUCGAAAGCGUGGGGAGCAAACAGGAUUAGAUACCCCGGUAGUCCCUGUCUCUUAUAA